GAAGAUUUGAAAGAAGUGGGUGUGGCCACACUUGGAGCCAGACGCAAACUGCAAAUUGCUAUUUCAGAAAUCUGCAAGUUAAGAUCAGAAGGACCUAAGCCACACUCCCUUCGUUCAACCAGUGCCAAGAAAAUGUCUGUCCCAGGUCCCCUCCUGGGGGUCGGUCGUCCAGAGAGAACAGGAGUCCGUUUAGCUCCAAGCUAUAUGAGUAAGAGUGUCCGAUUUUAACUGCCGCCUACUUUUGGUUGGAACGUGAUCAGUCUUUGGCCUCUUCCAUUAACAGAACUACAAUAAUAAUGAUAAUGAUAAUAAUAAUAACUAGUAUUAUUGUUACUACAUUUUCUAGUACCUACUUGGUUACUAAUAAGUAAAGGAACAAUUUUUUAUUGCUAUUCACAAUUCAUCAUUCAUCUCCCAUUUUUCUUCCCCCUUUUGUUUCACAUUAUUUGCUACACUAUUAACAAGAGUUCAUAAUACGAUAUGCUCUUGCUAUUAAUAAAAUUAUUUUUGUACAUCACAUCAGAAUGACACUAUUAAUUGAAUUAUUAAAAUACACCUAAAUUUAUGCUGCCA